rnacentral:pre_miRNA from 8 species
GGUACUAGAAAAGAGGUUGUCUGUGUUUCUUAGCUUUGUUUAUGAUGAAAAAUAUGGAUACACUUCUAUUUGAGUAUC